CAUACCCCUAGAAACAUGGCAGGUGUGGCUGCUGUGUCACAUGUACAUCAGUAGACAGCAGAGAGGAGAGAGACUAUGUUUAUGAUCAGUGUUCUGACCUGUAAAAAUCCGAAUGAUUAGUAACCUAACAUU